UGCACUUUCUCCCCCAUCUCUUUCUUUCUGGUUUGGCAAGAAAGAAUCCAUCCGAUCACUCUCACACGGCAUGACGGAGGCGAGGGAAAAGUCGACGAGAAAUAACCCGUUGGGGGAGAACACCCACAGCGAUGAUCGAGAGUCGACGACCCAAAGCGUUGGCAGAGAAGGAUUAGCAUCCUGCAAUGCAUCGACGCACUUAGCCAUGGGUUAUCGACAUCGGAUGCAUAUAUCGUGACACAACAUUCUCCUUUGCAGAUGAAGCAUUUGGGGCUGCUGGUCGUACACAUGAAGCGUCAAGGUCGUUUCAGAAGUGCGCUUUCCCUGCUUCACCCUCACUUUGAGCGAGGGUUUCAGAAACCCAUCGCUCAAAGUGUGAGCGAGGGUUUCAGAAUUCCAUUCCUCACAGCGAUGGUUUUCCGAGCGAGAGUUUUCUGUUCCCGCUCACAGCGGGGGUUUCAAACCCUCGCUAAGCGACCUUUCGCGGGUUUCAGACGGACCCAGCGCCCUCCUGCUCCGCGGCUCUGCACCGUAGCACCACUGUCUGUCUACGUCUUCGGUCUUCCCUGCUGCCGCCGAACGGCUGCUGGAUGGAGAACAUAUAUGAUCAAUAGUGAUGCCUUGAUUGGAAUUGAAGUAUAAAAAUUUUUACCAGCUGCCGCACGUGAAUAUGCUCCAUUAGUCGAUACGGAUCACCAAGGAAAUCAUCAAGAUGCCUGAGUUAUCGGGGAAGCGGAUUUUAUGGUCUUUUUGAAGCAGGUCUGUCAAAAACCAAGUAUGUUUGUCUCUUCUUUGUUGACAAUUUUUGUUGCUUAGUUCGUUUCUUAUGAUCUGCUGUGCUAAACAAUG